GAGAUUAUUUGAGGUCCGUUGACUGCUCAUGAGGUUCAAGUUCGUAGUUCCAAAUCCAUUUUUAUUGCUAUCUUGCUUGUGUGUUGCUGGACAUUCGAAUUCCGGCGCCGGAUUUGCUUGUAAUAGCUUCCGAACAGAAGUAAUCGAAAAACUCUUAUAUUCAGAUUUGUGGAUUUCGGACACGAAUUCGCAAGGCAAAGGUUUAUUGGAAUCUUGAAUUUGGUUGCAAAGCGAGGUAAGUGUCGUGGUUAACCUUGACUUGAGGGAGUAUGACUUAUUUGUCCAUUUGCUAUGUGAUUUAAUAUGCGGGUACAACGUAUAUGUGAGAUGACGAGUACUUAUGCAUUGUGGUUGAGUCAAAGCAUGCGGGUGGAAUUUAUUUAUAGAGAAUAAUUACCUAUUUAAUUAAGAUAUUCCUCCUUAAGUUUAUUAUUGAUUAUUUGAUCAUUAUUCAUGAAAUUAUUAUUUAUUUAAUUAUUGUUGAAUAUUUUGGAAGGUGAAGUCGGUAUUCUGGUAUUGAAUUGAUUGAUAAGUGUAUAUCCCCACAUUUAAAUACUCUUCCGAAUUUAUAUUAUUAUUUUUAUGGUAAAGAAAAGUGUAAAAGCACGAAGGGUGUUGCCGUGCCAUUUGUGAGUGUAAAAGCAUGAAGGGUGAUGCCGUGUCAAUUUCAGAGAGUGUAAAAGCACGAAGGGUUAUGCCGUGCCAAAAGAGAGUUAAAGCACGAACGGUGAUACCGUGUCAAUUAUUAUUAUUUAUUUAUCAGUUUAUGGGAGGAAUGAGAGUAAAAGCACGAAGGGUGGUGCCGUGCUAUUUUUAUAUUAUCAGUUGCUCAUUUUAUUGUUGAUGAAUUAGUUGGCUCCUAUGUGACACUUCUCCUGCUAAAAUUUCUAUAUCACUCCCCUUCGCAUGUUCCCUCCCAAAUUUAUAAAUUGUUAUUUAUUGUGUUAUCAUUGUUUUGUAUUUGUAUAUACUUGUACACGUUAUUUACGUACGUAUCAUGUCAUAGCCUCGUCACUACUUCGUCGAGGUUAGGCCCGACACUUACGGAAUACAUGGGAUCGAUUGUACUCAUACUACACUCUGCACUUCUUGUGCAGAUUUUGGAGUUGGUCCCAGUGGCGUACCAUAGACGUGCUCGGAUUCAGCUACUCAUAGGAGACUUGAGGUAUAACUACACAUCGUUCGCAGUUCUAAAGUCCCCUUCUAUCUUAUCUUAGCUGUGUAUUAUCUUUCAAACAACUUGAAUUUUAUUCAGACCUUUAAUUGUAUUAUUCUAGUAGCUCGUGCACUUGUGACACCAGAUUCGGGGAUGUAUUUUAAUAAUUUUGUAUUUAUGGCCUUCCGCACUUUAUUUCAGUAAUUGACUUCUAUUUAAUUUAAUUUGCUUAAA
rnacentral:lncRNA from 1 species